rnacentral:misc_RNA from 1 species
UUUAUUGUUCAUGUCUUCUAGGUAGGAGUUCAUCUUUCUUCCUUUUUUUUCCCCCACAUUAACAGUUUGUGUCGCUUACCGUUUGUGGACACUUCACCUAAUUAAGUUCCCACGGUAGAACCUACUUGAAUUUGUAAGCAUAAGAAAAUGAUGAGACAGGGAAAAUAACAGAAGUUAUCUAUGUAAAGCUCCCAGUUUUCUUUCCUAGGCAUUUUGUUUUGCAG